GUCUAAGGCCAUACCACCCUGAACACCCUGGAUCCUGUCUGUUCUCAGAAGCUAAACACUAUUGGGCCUGGUUAGUACUUGGACGCGUGAUCUCGCGUGAUCUCGGAAGCUAAGCAGGGUCAGGCCUGGUUAGUACUUGGGUGAGAGACCACCCAGGAAUACCGGGUGCUGUAGUCU
rnacentral:rRNA from 1 species